AGUAUUGAACUGAAGAGUUUGAUCAUGGCUCAGAUUGAACGCUGGCGGCAGGCCUAACACAUGCAAGUCGAGCGGAUGAUGGGAGCUUGCUCCCGGAUUCAGCGGCGGACGGGUGAGUAAUGCCUAG
rnacentral:rRNA from 1 species